ACCUGGCUGGCUUAGUCAGUAGAGCAUGUGACUCUUAAUCUCAGGGUUGUGGGUUCGAGUCCCAUGUUGGGUG